GGAUGAGAGAAACACCUCGCCCGCGGGGAACCGCAGGCGAGACCGAGUCGGCGCUUCCCCAGCCCCGGCCCGGCCGUGCCUCGCGCACACCUACGGAGUCCUGGACUCCGGAUCUCCUCACCGAUCGGA
rnacentral:ncRNA from 1 species